rnacentral:misc_RNA from 1 species
UUUUAGAUAAAAUCUGGAGUAUUUUUAAAAAAUUGAAAAGACAUUAAAAAUUGAUGAUAAUAUUUAAUAAUAAAUAUAAUAUCAAGAAUUAAAUAAAUUUUCGAAAUGUUUUCACUGCAGACUGAUGUGAUGAUGAUCGAAUUUUUAAGUACAUUGAAGCAGAAAAUGCCAAAAUUAGAAAAAUUGGAAAAUUUAAAUUGUCCAGAAUGUUCAGGACCUCCACCUCUAUUUCGAGUACCACCGCCACCACGGCCUCCUUUUUUAACAGAAGCUUCAAUUUGUUCAGAAGCACCUUUGGCAGAACUUGAAGACUGUAUUGCUAUGCCAAUGAUUGAUGCAUCCUACCAUGCCAAUCCUUCUUUGCAAAAUACAGCGCUAAUCAUAGCAUGUACUGUCAUUUUAUUGCUCAUGGCAGCAAUAGUUUCAGUUGUGUUUUGGAAACAUAAAAGGAAAGUCCAAAAUCUCCUCCCUUGCAAGAGUGCAGUGGCUGUAACUGCAACCACAAAUCAAACUAGAGUUUUGCCAAAUGGUCAAACCUUAACAAGCUCUAGUAAUAUUACUGGAAACACACGACUGUACGAAGAUUUAAUAGAAAAUAUGCCACGCUCUCAAAUUCACAAUCAUUUGACAAUCCAACCCAGGAUCCAACCCACGAUUGAGGUACGAGGUACAAAUUCCUCAAGGCAGCAGAUGAUUGAUGUCAAUAAGGAGAAGAGCAUCGAUCGAGGAAGUUUUACUUGUAGCAGUCCUGGACCAGAUCUGUAUGGAUCACAAGAUCUUUACAAUCCAGUUUAUGAAGAAUUAUGUAAUGGUGACAAUCAUUUGAAUACUGAUGACGAAGGAGAAGUAAAUCCUCAAAAGUAUUCACACCAUCAUCGAUUAUCGAUUAAUUUAAAAUCAGGAAGUGAAGAUGAAUUUGCUGAAGAUGAGCUAUCAGUAGGUGAACCUUCAGAAUCAAGAAUGCUUACAUUGUCUAUAACACCAAGAUCGUGGGGUACAUGUCCUAAUGUAACCAAUAAAUCAUCAAGAGAUCGCAGAGGUAGAAGUCCAAGGAGCUUAGAUGAACGAAAAAACAAUAAAAGUCACGAUGUUGGUAUUGUUGGAUCAAAGAAUAAUUCAAAUGCCAAUGAAGCAAGCAAAUCCGCAACAACAUUAGCUCAUAAACUGCCAUAUUUUUUGCCAUCUGCUCCAACUAUGCAAUCAAUUCACAAAGAUGAUGAAAAUCCAUAUGAAAGUGUUCCAGUUUUAGGUCCUUUACACCAUUAUUCAAGUCACACUAAAACAAAUAGAGAAAAACAUCACAAAAUGUCAACAAUGGACCAUUACGAUAAAUAUCCUCAUUACGGUUCCAAAUAUUUUGGAUUUAAUUCAGACAAUAUGGCUCCUAUUUAUACUCAAGUUGGAAGUGAUUAUUCAGAAACAUAUUCUCAAACAAUUGAUAAAUUAUCUUACAAUGAUAAUAGAUACGCACAACCUGUUUAUUUCAUGUCAAAAGAUCCUUCAUCUCGUGGGCUUUAUCAAAGUCAACCUGACAGUAGUUUUGGAAGUGACAGCGGUUAUAGUCAUAAUACGUCUAGUGGUGCAACCACAUAUACCAAUGGUAUACGAAGCAGUACCACACGAGCAAAUCAUCGUAAAGACAAACAUCGAAAUUCAGACCAUUCUCAUCAUUCAGCUGAUUUUAUAUUUUCGCAAUAAGCAAACACAAUAUUAUACGUCACGUCAAAAACAUUAAAAAAAAAGUACUAUCUCUUAGAUUUAUAUAACGUGGAAAGUUUAUUGAUUCUAGUAAUCAUCAAAAAUGAUUUAUUUACUGAUUAUAAUUUCAGUACUAGUCAUUAUGAAUAAAAAUUAGGUAUUUGACACAGCAAGUAGAUUUAAGGAAUUUUUAAUAAGUAUUAUAUUAACAUAAUCUCCCUAAAGUAGUAUUAUUCUUCUUUCUUAUUCGAAAAAUAGUAAACGUACUUUAUCACACAUAUUGCAAGCUUAGUGAUCAGUGGAAGUUGAUGUUACUUCUUUAUGAAUAUUAAUGUUGUGUAAUUAGUAUAUAAAGUUCGGAAAUUCAUAGGAUUUGUUGUACUCAUUGUUAGGUAGUUUAAUAUGUCAGUUUCUUUAUCAAGAAUCCGAUGUUAUUUCAAUUAUAAAUAUUAUCAUGCAGAUCAUUAACUCAAAGACUACAUUAGCACCAUGGCAUCAUUAAGAUUGCUAAAUUUAAUUAUAAUAACUUAUACAGUUAGCCACGAUAAUAAAGUAAUUAAAGUGAAAUUUAAGUCUAUCUUACUUGCACAGGCCUUCAGGAAUGUGCCCUAUUCUUAUAAUACAAUGCUUAUAAAGCUUGCUUCUAACAACGAGUAGAGUUUAACUCACCUUUUUUACGCUACCAAGACUUUAUUUCAAUCAGAUUAGUCAUUUUGAUGUCAAUACCGACAGAUAUGUACAUCUUUUUAUAAUUUUACUGUAGAUAAGACUGAGUAUUAUUAUUAUUAUUAAUAAUGAAAUAUCCUACUGAUUUUAGUUUUAGUUUUAUUUAUGUAAAAUAUAUUAUCAGACUGAAUCUAUAAUAAAUGUAUAUCAUGUGUAUUCUUUCAACACAACAAGAAGAAAACUAAUAAAUUUAUAUAACUGUAUUGUAUUGAGACUUUGAAAAAAUUCGAUGAGGUUAGAAACUACUUGAUAUAUAUACACUAAUUUUUUUGCAAGUGGCUUGAAUUCCUGUUGCCAUUGUUCAAACGCUACUGAAGCAGAUGGUAUUUAUAUAUUGUUCAGAUGAAGAAGAAUGUUGAUAUAAUUUUUUUCGAGAGAAUCCUCAAUGUAAUAGGUUCAGGAGAUAUAUCAGAUUGCACAUUAUUAGAAAGUAUUGCAGCAUGGGUAUGCCGAACAGUUGAACGACAUCCAUGAGGAGCCUGUUGAGCAACAAAAUCUCUUCUUAUUAUAUUAGGCUCUUUCAGAGAUGCAUGAAUUAAUCUCCCUGCAGGAUCAUCGGUUGACAAGUGACAGUAGUGUAGAAGAUUUUGCCAGAUGCGUGCGAAUCGAAAUGUAUGCACCCAUGGUCGUGUAAAAAAUCUGAAGCAAAUAAAUCAAAAGAAAGAUAAAUCAAUACAUCAAAUAAAAAA